rnacentral:lncRNA from 1 species
UCUGGGAGACCUGAAUUAAUUAGGGAGAAAUCCGAGAAGACCAGCCUAAAUCUCAAAGAUAAAGGCUGAGGAAGCAAAAGGCAGAAGUAAAUUGACCACCACCCAGGUGUGGUCCAGGUGUGUCGGUUCCACGUGCAUCAGCCGGGGUCAGCAGAGGUCAUGCAGUGGAGACUCGGGUGUUUACUACUUGGUCUUUUCUUCCUGUGCCGUAAAUACGUGGGGGAGGCCUCUGUCCAACAAUCCCAUGACUUCUUAACUGUGGCCAUGCAGUUACAAAGCGGCCAGGCCCAAAUCCAAUAUGGCUCACUACACUUACUUUUCAGUGCAGAUCUCUCUCAGGAAUUCCACUUACCCGCUUUCCUAAAUCCUUUUCUAGAAUGCACAUUCUAGAAAUGCAUGUUAAACGAGAGCAGAGAGCAGCAGGGUUUUCUUUUGAUUGAGUUUCUUUUUUCUUCCCUGCUCAACCUCCCAAUGCUGGAGAGUGAACUGAAGCCUUUUCAUUUGCCUUCUUAUCAUCUCUGUCUUAGUAUGUUCUGAUAUCUAGAGUGUUGCUUUAUAAGUUAAGAUGCACAAGAGAAGUUGAGUCAGAUUGUAUCAUGUCUCUAAGCACCUGGGACCAGCUC